rnacentral:lncRNA from 1 species
GCCAAGAGAACAUGUUUUUUUGAUCAUGAAAAGGUUAUUUUCGAAUCAGUUACAGUCCAAAUUAAAUCGAAAAGAAAAUGGGGAAAAGAUAAGCUUAGAAAAUCUAGUAAAUAUAUGGAGUGUUUUACGAGAUAUCGGCGACGUGGAAGAAAAUGUUGACGGCAAUGCAGAAAUAUAGUUUCUUAUGUAUGUUUUUGUGAAAUAAAAA